UGCGCAGCUCGCGUAGGCCGCGGCGCAGUCGCGGAGCGCCGACUUCCAUCGUCUGUUCGAACCAGGCGCCGCGCGAC
rnacentral:tRNA from 1 species